rnacentral:snoRNA from 1 species
UUGCUAUGACGACGAUCUUAGGACACCUUUGGAUUAACUAAUCUUUUAAUCCGAGCAGU